UAUUAGGGAUGAUGAUGAAGAAGAAGAAGAAUGCUCUUAUUCAGCUUCUGCAGCUCUGGGAAGGGCCACAGUUUUCCAAUAAAUAUUAAAGAAGACACAAUCUGCAAUAAUGUGGGAAUAGCCUUAGCAGUUAUCUUGGUUCCAUGUCUCCAGUCAUAAUUGGAUUCCUUUCUUCCUCCUUUUCUUCCUUUCUUUCAGCCUUUUGGCCAGGGAUGUUCUGGAACUUAGUGUGUAGACAAGGCUGGCCAGACCCUGUUCUGAUCCUCCUGAUUGUGCCCCAAGUGCUGACAUUGUAGUCACGCACUACUCCAAUGCCUGCCUUAAAUCUUGAGUUGAAACAUUUCUAUAAACCAUGAGAACUUCAGUUUUUUUUCUCCCUAGGUCCCCAGACUGAGGAACUGAUGUCUGUGGUCAUGAGGUCUGCCCAUAAAGUGAGGGUGAAAGCCCUAAAACGUGUGCAGAGGAACAUAGGCGCUUUUGAGAUGAAUAUAUGGGAGCCGGAUGAAGAAGAAAAACCAGCUGCUGCUCCUGCCACCGCUGACACGUUUUCCCUGGGAACCAGUUUGAGCAGAAGUACACUCACCUUAGAACUGGGCAGUUCUCUGCUACACAGUGAUGCAGAUACCUUCUCUGAAACCUUGUCUUUUGAAGAGAAAACUUGGAUACACUUGUAUCAAAGGUACAACUGGGAGGUUGUAAUACAAGUACCUACUUCCUCUGGAAGAGAGUGCAAAUGAUGAGCUUAUUUCCAAUCCCAGAAUGCUCAACAGUAUAAAGAAUAAAUAAGUGCCAACCUCUGUAACUCACAAUGGCGUUGCAAGUUUAUAUAUUUGAAAUUCAUUGUAAAUAUUCCUGAGAUUAUGGAAUGCUUUUGACAUCUGAGAUGACAGAUGAGAAGACACAAUUCAGUGGG
rnacentral:lncRNA from 1 species